rnacentral:ncRNA from 1 species
UAGAGCAUUGAGAGGACCUUUCCCUAGUAUGAGAGGACCGGGAAGGAUGCACCUCUGGUGUACCAGUUAUCGUGCCCACAGUAGACGCUGGGUAGACAAGUGCAGAACAGUUAACUACUGAAAGCAUAUAAGUAGGAAGCCCACCCCAAGAUGAGUGCUCUCCUAUUCUUACUUCCUUGAGAGCCCUAGUCGCGAACAUGGCUGGGACAAUGAUGGGUUCUCUAUCCUUGCAGGGGAUGGAGCGACAAAAGUAUUGAUAAUCUAAGAUAAGGUCACGGUGAGACAAACCAUUUAUCAUUACGAUAGGUUUCAAGUGGAAGUGCAGUGAUGUAUGCAGCUGAGGCAUCCUAAUAGACCGAGAGAUUUGAACCU